CCUACAGGUCAGUAUAAAGAAAGCUACAUCAGGGAUAACAUCCUACUGUCACUUACCUGGACGCCUGGUAAGUGACAGUCUUUCUCGCUCUGAUGCACAGCAGAGACUUUGCAUUACCAGCACGCUGCACCUUCCUGUCCUCCGAUCCGCGUCCCUACGUGAGAUCUGCUGUCCCAUCCACGAGCUGUUUUCGGGGGAAAGGAGGCGCCGCUGUGGGAUUUCUCUCCUUUAUCAGCCCAAUCCAGAUCAUCAAGAGGAACAGCGAUGGAACAAGAUCAGGUCACCGUGGCAACAGGAAGAUAGCUCUGGAGAUGGUGGGGUGUGAGGUUGUCAUGACGACUGAGAAACUACUCAACAGUGUGCACCAACUCCUCCUUCUCCACCACCACCAUCACCACCACCACCACUGCCCUCCUGCUGAGAGAAAAAGACGGAGAGAGGAAGAGUUGAGAUAGAACUGAUCAGUAAACAAGGAGGCAGAGAAAAUGUGUGUUGCAAUGACAUGUGGCGACGUGUAUAGAUGGCAUCUCCAUUUACAGAGCUGGAGGUGUCGAUGAUCAUGUUCUCUCUCCUGGUUUUCGCCCUCUUCACACUUACUGGGAUGCUCAAUGAGGAAUGUGCACACUUGAAUGUGUCAAAGACAGAACCACAGAGUGAAGAACUGAUUGUCUGAAGGAAAAACAGCGACCUCUUUUCUUCCUGCUCGGUGCCUACUGACAACAUAUCAGCCAAAGUAUUAACGUAUGUUAUCAGUUACAAGAACAAAGUCUAAACAGUGACCUCAGAUUGUGUGUGUGUGCGUGUGUACUUUGUUAUAGGAUCCAGUGUUAUUUGCUUCCAGGAUGAGGCACAAAGGAGUGGCUUAAAUGGUACACUGUAAAAUGAAAUCAAUAAAGAAACGCCUGCUUUACCUGUUCCAAGAAGUAUCUGACGGCUACUUUCUUUCCUCUUUGAGUGUGCACAUAUGAAACACACAAAAGUAUCCUUUAUUUUGAUCUUCAGAUUUGUAAAAUAUCUGCUGGGAUUCUU